CCUGAUCCAUAUCUCACAUUUUGCUUUCUUCAGGUAUCUUGUUGCCUAGUGAAGCUCUUACAUUUUAAUAGAUUAAAUAUUUAUGCACAUAGUGUGGGAGGCUGACAGAAAAUACCAGAUGUUAACUCUCUCCUCUGUGGAAAUAUUGGCUCUGAGAAACAGACGAAUUACAAUGGAUGAAGAUCAGCACUCAUAUUCUGAAGAAAGUAUCCCACUUUCAUUACUAUCCUGGUUCUGGAAGAAGAAGAGGAAUUUUGCAUCUCCUGCUGCUAAAAGUCAAAGCAGAACAGAUGCAUGGGUACGAACAGUUACCCCUUCAUGCUCUUUUGCUCCUGAAGAUUCAGCAAGAAGUGAUCCUGAACCUAAACCACAGACCACCAUUCACUCAUCUGUUCCUCUACCGGGCAGUGUUAUGGAUUUUUC
rnacentral:lncRNA from 1 species